rnacentral:rRNA from 1 species
UACGGAAGGCAGCAGUGGGGAAUAUUGCACAAUGGGCGCAAGCCUGAUGCAGCCAUGCCGCGUGUAUGAAGAAGGCCUUCGGGUUGUAAAGUACUUUCAGUCGUGAGGAAGGUGUUAAGGUUAAUAACCUUAGCAAUUGACGUUAGCGACAGAAGAAGCACCGGCUAACUCCGUGCCAGCAGCCGCGGUAAUACGGAGGGUGCGAGCGUUAAUCGGAAUUACUGGGCGUAAAGGGCACGCAGGCGGUUAAUUAAGUUGGAUGUGAAAUCCCCGGGCUUAACCUGGGAAUGGCAUUCAAGCUGGUUAGCUAGAGUCUUGUAGAGGGGGUAGAAUUCCAUGUGUAGCGGUGAAAUGCGUAGAGAUGUGGAGGAAUACCGGUGGCGAAGGCGGCCCCUGGACAAAGACUGACGCUCAUGCGCGAAAGCGUGGGGAGCAAACAGGGAUUAGAUACC